UAGCUCAAUUGAGAUUCUAGACUCUUCUAUUGAUUUUAGGGACUUAAUUUUCACUAAUUGCUUGAUAUGGAUUCAAAAUAGUGCAAGCUUGCUAGCCAUUGUUUGAUGUGGUUGAUUUGGUUGGAGCGGAAUAGGCAUAUUUUUUUGAGUGAGACGCGCUCGGUUCCUUGGAUGGAACGUCGUUUGCUUACUAUGCUGCAUAGUUGGAUUACAAUUUCGGUAGAUCCGGAUGUGCUGACUUUUGUAGAUUUUGUAGAGGAUUUGUUUAGUUAAUUGUUUGUUCUGUUUUGCUUUGGUCUUGUUUGUUAGCUUAAUAGCUAGAAUCUGUAUUCGUUGCAUCAUCUUGAUGCAUUUCAAUAAAGUUGGCUUAUUUAUCAACCAAAAAUAAAAUAACUAGCGAAGCUCAAUUGACUCUCAUAUAGAUUAUGUAAAUCAAUGUGAAUAUCACUGGUUAAGUAGGCGCUUUGUCAAUAAAUUUACGUAAAAAAAGUUGAUUUUUCAUGUAUGAGUAAGAACAAGAAAAGAUGAUGGAGCAAAAAGAAAGAGAAGACAAAACGGAAGAAAGAGAUGCCAGAAAAGAAUGAGAGUUAAGGUUCCCUCCCUUGAAACUCUAAUUUGUACUUGUUUCAAUAAUAUUACAAAAAUGCCCUCCACACAAAAAACAUAUAUCCCAACACUCCGCAAGAUGGUGCGAAGAUGUCACACAUGCCCAAUUUGGUUAGGAUAUUAUGAAACACGUUACUUAAAAUUGCCUUUGUUAGGAUGUCAACAAAUUAAUCUCUAGUCUUCACAUAAGGAGUACAAAUAUGUUGAACAUUUAACUUAUCUUUGAUAAAAGUGCCUAUCAAUGUCAAUAUGUUUAGUUUGAUCAUGUUGAAUGGGAUUAUGAGCAAUAUCAAUACUUGCCUCGGUGUCACAAUACAACCUCAUUGACUCUUUUAUUAGUGAAGCCAAGAUCUUUAAGAACCAUCUCGAGCCAAAUAGGUUCAUAAAUUCUGUCAGGAGCUCAUACCACGCCAAAAUGGAAUGAGACCAGCCAGUAGUCAUAGACUACCAAAGGCCUAACUGAACAAAAUCUGAAGUACUCUUGUUUGUUUGCAGUAUAACCAGUCUGAAUAGCGGGAAAAAAAUUCGAUCAUGUGUGUCUAAACAAUAGACACAUUUGCUUACUAAUUGUCUAAAGCGUAUAUGAAUCUAGAAAAAUUUAGGAAUAGUACGACAUGUCUCCGUCAGGUGUCAAGAAGUGUCACAUGAGUGUUGUGUUGGUGUCUGACACAAUAUGCAGCCUUCUUAGGGACAAAGUUCACAUUAUUUUAAUGAUUUAAGUAAUAAUAAGAAAAACUGAGAAAAAAGGUAAUCAGGACAUAUUCCGGAGGUACUUAAGCUUGGGAUAAGGUUGUAAAUAAGCUCUACGGAAUCCAUAUCAGUUUGGCAUGAUUAUUGGCCACCCAUUAUAUGGCUAGUAACCCUAUCUCCUUUUGUGGACCCCUUGGAGAGCUCUCUUCCAAUUGAUUCUUGCGUUCAGGACCUGAUUGAACUUAAUCAAAAUUCUUGGGAUCAUUCAAUCCUAGUUACCAAUUUUCCUAGGCAAAUUGUCCAACUCAUUCAAACUAUUCCUCUUUCAUCAUUUGGUUUUCCAGAUAAGACAGAUUUGGGCUCCUACUUCCUCAGGCGAUUUUUCUGUUCAAUCUGCCUAUAAGUGCUUGAUGCUUGCUCGAACAUCUAGCAGCCCUUUUUUGGCCCAUCAUGAGCUUCAAUAAUCCAUCCAGCUUGGCCUAAAUUUACUCGAACCCCAUUUGAUGGGACUUAGGCUUGGUUUGGUUUGGUUUGGGAAAAGAAACAGAGUAGAACAGAGGAGGAAAAAAAAAACAGAGCAAGAGAAGAAGAACAAAUUAGAGAAGAGGAGAAGAAGACGAGAAGGGAAGAAGACGAGAAGGGAAGAAGACCAACACAGUAAAGCAAAAAAAAAAAAGAGAGAUUAGAACAGAGGCAGAGAAAAGAACCAGAGAAGAGAGAGAAGAGAAGAAGAGAAGCAGAACAGUCAAAGCAGAAGAAGAGG